rnacentral:lncRNA from 1 species
UGAAAACAAAACAUUCGUUCCGUGACGUGAGGCUCCAGCUUAAAACUUUGAAACUAUACCAAAUCAUACUCGGCAACUGAAGCAUGGAGGAGAAGAGCCGGAAAAAACCCUCUUUUCAAAAGAAAGCGACCCGCCAAAAAACAUUGCAAUAGAGAACUCUUUAGCGGAAAUGGUUUCCUGGCCUAUUGAAACUCUUUCAGCCGAUUCGCGGCAACACAUUACUUCAGAU